UACGUAGGGCGCAAGCGUUGUCCGGAAUUAUUGGGCGUAAAGAGCUCGUAGGCGGUUUGUCGCGUCUGUCGUGAAAGCUUGGGGCUUAACCCCAAGUCUGCGGUGGAUACGGGCAGACUAGAGGCAGGUAGGGGAGAACGGAAUUCCCGGUGUAGCGGUGAAAUGCGCAGAUAUCGGGAGGAACACCGGUGGCGAAGGCGGUCCUCUGGGCCUGUACUGACGCUGAGGAGCGAAAGCGUGGGGAGCGAACAGG
rnacentral:rRNA from 1 species